rnacentral:pre_miRNA from 1 species
UUCAUACUCCCUCCGUCCGGAAAUACUUGUCUUCAAAAUGGAUAAAAGGGGAUGUAUCUAGAUGUAUUUUAGUUCUAGAUACAUCUCUUUUUAUUCAUUUUGAUGACAAGUAUUUUCGGACGGAGGGAGUACCAC